CCUACGGGUGGCUGCAGUGGGGAAUAUUGGACAAUGGGCGAAAGCCUGAUCCAGCCAUGCCGCGUGUGUGAAGAAGGCCUUCGGGUUGUAAAGCACUUUCAGUGGGGAAGAAAGCCUUGGGGCUAAUACCCUCGAGGAAGGACAUCACCCACAGAAGAAGCACCGGCUAACUCCGUGCCAGCAGCCGCGGUAAUACGGAGGGUGCGAGCGUUAAUCGGAAUUACUGGGCGUAAAGCGCGCGUAGGCGGUCUGAUAAGCCGGUUGUGAAAGCCCCGGGCUCAACCUGGGAACGGCAUCCGGAACUGUCAGGCUAGAGUGCAGGAGAGGAAGGUAGAAUUCCCGGUGUAGCGGUGAAAUGCGUAGAGAGCGGGAGGAAUACCAGUGGCGAAGGCGGCCUUCUGGACUGACACUGACGCUGAGGUGCGAAAGCGUGGGUAGCAAACAGGAUUAGAUACCCUUGUAGUC
rnacentral:rRNA from 1 species